GACGAACGCUGGCGGCGUGCCUAAUACAUGCAAGUCGAGCGAAGUUUUUCUGGUGCUUGCACUAGAAACACUUAGCGGCGAACGGGUGAGUAACACGUAAAGAACCUGCCUCAUAGACUGGGACAACUAUUGGAGACGAUAGCUAAUACCGGAUAACAGUAUUUCUCGCAUGAGAGAUAUUUAAAAGUUGGUUAUGCUAACACUAUGAGAUGGCUUUGCGGUGCAUUAGCUAGUUGGUGGGGUAAAGGCCCACCAAGGCGACGAUGCAUAGCCGACCUGAGAGGGUGAUCGGCCACACUGGGACUGAGACACGGCCCAGACUCCUACGGGAGGCAGCAGUAGGGAAUCUUCCGCAAUGGGCGAAAGCCUGACGGAGCAACGCCGCGUGAGUGAAGAAGGAUUUCGGUUCGUAAAGCUCUGUUGUUAGGGAAGAAUGGAUAUGUAGUAACUAUACAUGUAAGAGACGGUACCUAACCAGAAAGCCACGGCUAACUACGUG
rnacentral:rRNA from 1 species